CAGGGGAAACAAAAGAGGAACAAAAUAAGAGUCUGGUCACAAACAGAAGGAGUCAGUGAGACCACUGCACAUAAUAACAGCUUGGCAUGGCAUCAUCCCAUUUCGCACAGGAAUGUGAAAGAGAGCAUGGAGGCUUCUCUGGAGAAAUGUGAGCCAUUUUCAAAUCUUGGACUCAUAAUUUGCAAAAAAAAACAGACCGUUGAUUGCAAGCACUCCUGAGAGAGAAGGAAAAACUGCCAUUGAAAAAGUUUCAGGUUCAUCUGGCAAGCACUGUCAAGCAGCUGUACUAGAAUUACAUCACGGUCAGCAAAGGUUUCAUCUAUUGUGUCUCCACAUCCAUAUAUGAACAGGUCAUCCACAAUUGCUUCCAUUCUAGGAAACUCUCAAACUAUCUCGUGAUACCUGCAUCGAUACUCAUCUGGAGCUAUGGAAAUUCCUGGCAGCAUGCACAACCACCUGCAUCUCUUCAUUGACAUUCAGAACGCAGUUAUAACACUGUUUUCAUUUACCUUCACUUACCAGUAGCCAUCCUUCACAGCUGGCAUAGUAAAGAUUAAUGCCUUCUCAAAUUGUGGCAAAAUUCCUUUAAUGAUUGAAAAGAUCUCCUCGUCCCGUUUCAGAGUUGUAUACAGAUUCUCAGCUUCCCAGGUUGUUUCACUGCUAGCAUGAUGCUAAACCAUUCUCUUGGAGUUGUAACUUCCCUGA